rnacentral:tRNA from 2 species
GGACGGAUAGCCAAGCGGUUAGGCACUGGUUUGCAAAACCACGAAGGCGGGUUCGACUCCCGCUCCGUCCUCCA